AACGAACGCUGGCGGCAUGCCUAACACAUGCAAGUCGAACGAGACCUUCGGGUCUAGUGGCGCACGGGUGCGUAACGCGUGGGGACCUGCCCUUAGGUUCGGAAUAACUCCCCGAAAGGGGUGCUAAUACCGGAUAAUGUCUUCGGACCAAAGAUUUAUCGCCUUUGGAUGGGCCCGCGUUGGAUUAGCUAGUUGGGAGGGUAAAAGCCUACCAAGGCGACGAUCCAUAGCUGGUCUGAGAGGAUGAUCAGCCACACUGGGACUGAGACACGGCCCAGACUACUACGGGAGGCAGCAGUGGGGAAUAUUGGAAAAUGGGCGAAAGCCUGAUCCAGCAAUGCCGCGUGAGUGAUGAAGGCCUUAGGGUUGUAAAGCUCUUUUACCCGGGAUGAUAAUGACAGUACCGGGAGAAUAAGCUCCGGCUAACUCCGUG
rnacentral:rRNA from 1 species